UAAGAUUAGAAAGGAAAAAAAGAGCAGAAUUUUAUUGGUUGUUCAUUGAAAAUGUUAGCUGUGAUUAGUUACAUAAUCCUACAUUAACCUGUAAAUUAAAAUUCCUUGGUGCAAUUUGAUGGCUGAUUUAAUUUUGUCUUUCUUUGUUUGCCGCAGGCUAAUUCCAUUAUGAAUUCUUUAUACAGCCUUUUCCCUCAAUGAUUAGCAGCUUCUACUCAAGUUCUGAUUACUAUUGUACACUUAGCACUACAUAAAGCCGGGGAUUAAUAUUCCCCUGAAGAAUUGUUGCUAUGGAUCUGCUCUAUUCCUUCUAAGAGAUGUUUCUGCAGCUUCAAUUGUCCAUAAAUUAUGAUCUCUAGUGAAUUAUCAGUGGGAGUGAACUGAGCUUAACAAGCUGAAGAGUGCACUCUAGUUCGGAGAGAAAAAAGGCAAGGGAGAAAGAGAAAAAGAGAUUCUCAAUUAUUAAUUGUGAGGUUAGAUCAUUCAGAAGUGAUAUUUUUUCCAUCUCUAUCCUUGUAGACAUGUACAAAUUAGAAUGGGGUUGUGGGUUAAAACAGAUGCUUUAAAAUCUUUCAACAUGUAGUGAUUAUAACAUGCCAGAAGGUCUUAAUUACCUGUAAACAGGAAGAGAAAAGGCUGAUUCUGCUACCCAGUAACAUAGCAGGGUUAUAGGGUAUGUUUUAUUUUGGGAAGUGGCAUUGUCUUACUUCGCAAAGUGUGAUUUCUCCAUCUAUCAGUUUAGGAAUAUGUAUUAGGGUACUAUUGUUUUAAACCAUCACUGGGAAUAGCAGAAUGCUCAAAUAAAAUUCAUACAAGGAUUUUUCAAAAUGAGAAAAGUUUUUCUCAAGGAAGUGGUAUUUCCAGAUAAAGUUGAUCUGUAGCUUGGGAAGGGUCUCCAUUUUGCUGGGACUAAAAAUCAGGGUUUAGGUCAUUCUUGGGCAUGCUUCCCCUUGGGAAGUACAUCACAGGGGGUUGUGUGCAGGGCUUGUUUUGAAACUCAGCUUGGAUAAACCCAGCUAUCCAUUACUUCCACUCUGUAGCACUGUUUGCUGGAUGCUUGACAUGGGGCAGAAGCCCUUACUGGCUCAGACACUGGGACUGAGUUUAGCCAGAGAAACCCACUGAAAUCCAGUGGAGACCACCAAGCUAGCCGAAUUGCUUGCUUUUACCCACACACGUUCCAGGCCAAGAGAAAUAAAUAUCUGAAUAAUGUAUCAUGUAAAAGUAUUCUCUUUUCUUUCUUCUGUCUUUUCCUCUCACUUAAUUUCCUUCUUCCUUUUUACUUCCCUUCUCUUCUAAUUUUGUCUUUCUUCCCUCUGUCUCCCAUCCUUUCUCUACUUCAUUCUUCAGUCUUCUCUUUUGAGUUUCUCUGUUUAUUUUUUUAUUCCUCCCCCAGCCACUCUUCCCCAAAGAGCUACAAUACUGAAAAUAUGCUGGCAUUUUAAAGUUAAAGCAAAAAGGUGAAUUAUAUUGCUACUUGGAAGCCAGCUAAGGGCAGAGUCCUGAGGGAAGUGAGAUAAAAUAACGGAGUCUGAGAAAUGCACUUAACAGAACAGACACAGUGGAAAGAAUCUUUUCCAGGAAUUAUCACUUCCCGGUUUUCCAACUGCAAAGCAACAAAUCAUAUACCAAGUCAAGGCAAUGCUGUUAUUAGGGAGGUGGUUCCUUCCCAUCAUUCUUAAGUCAGAGUCUCAGAUUGUACUGAGCAGUUCCUGGAAGAGAAGGUAAUGUCUUCUUACCUUCUCUUCCUGAUAAAAUGUAAUUUUAUCAGGAGCCUGGCCUCUGCAGCACAAUUCAUGGCAGUUUGGGUACAUGCACAGGAAAGUACAGGUAUGCACACACUCACACACAUAUGCAUAUACACAUGCAAAUCCAUGCAACACUUCUGAGAGUGAAAAGAUGUCAUUAGUAUUUAAGCCAGGACAAUAGGCAUAUGUGACACCGUGCUUGGCAAACAGGUCACAUGGUCAUUUUAGCGUUAGUGAAGGAUUGCAGUCAAGGUCCCUGAAGAAGCCUUUCCGAGAGUCCUGUGUUCCCAUGUUUGCUUUUCCUUUUGGCUGCUGGGAAUCUGAGCUUCCCUUUCAUGUCUGAGGAAUUUGGCACCUGAUUGAUCUCAUUAGGAGUCAGGGACUGCUCUCCACUUUUUACUGAAACCCAUUUGCUUUCAGGGUACAAAUAUAGGACCAUAAUUUGCCCAGCAGACACAUGUCUGUGGGACUUGGGCUUGGGGACUAGUGAUGCCAAGAAGGGGUCUCUGAGGAGCUGCCUAUAGUUUCUGGGCUCAGCAGGAUGGCAGUCACACAACAGGCUCCAGAUCCCAGGGCUCGGGGGACGAUCUGUGAGGACCAGGACUGGGUGAGAUCUUGAAUGCAGUUCCUAGGCACAUAGUUUCCCAGUCUUCUCUUCUCCUUCUAGAUAUUCUGUGAACAUUACUAUCUUAUCACCAAGGAGUUGCCAUGAGAAUUACACGUGACACCAUGUGGGAGUCAGUUAUAGCAUACUGGUCAAAAUGUCCUUCUCCAUUCCACAAACCGGGUACCUGGGGACUUGUAUUCCAGGUGCAGGACCUGGGGGCCAGUGAAGAGUGGUCAGAGAGUGGAGGAGGCCACAUCUCUAUUAUGUGAAAAUUAGCUCACUUUACUCAGUACUGGAGGUAGGAGUAGGGGACUAGGGGCUCCAGGGGCUACUUAGACUGCCCUCCUCAGAAGGUGCAAGCUCUCUGGGAGCACUUUCUCAGCAAGUGCUCGGUCUGCAUUUCUCAGCAAGACAUCCAAUGGCAUUUUAGGCAGAAAAUUUCUGUUUCAUGCAUUCUUGUUCCUGGCCCCACCCAUUACAUGCUAAGUGCCAUUUUGAUCUCCCAAUAGUUGUGACUCCCUAAAUUCUUCUCUCCGUCCAGUUCCAGACAUCUCCAAAGAGCAUCAAAACCCUAGAUAAGAACCAUCGAAUUAUUACUGUAUUCUUCUGAUUACAUAUAAUACUCUUUCCAAAAAGAGUUUUGACAAGCACAUUUUUGGCUGUUUUCAUAACAUUUCUAGCAACGUUCUGUGUCCUGGUGAUACUUCAGUACACUUUACAAAUCAGUCCCUGAAGUCUACCUUCUCUUAAUCCAGCUCUACUUAAAUGGGGUUUGGAGUAUGUUACCAAAAAAGGCUCAGUGAUCACAGAGUUCAUCUCUGCUUGAUAUGACAAACAACCCAUCUCGAAGCCAAAUUUGAAGGGAAAAAACCCACUCAAUACUUAUUUUGUUUCCAGCAUUUGCAUUUACUGGAAGUCAGUGCUAUUUUGGGAAUGACUUUUCCUCCUAGAACCUUCUUCCCCAGGGACUUGAGUGCAGUCCCCAGGCAGGAAUCUGGUCCACUGGAGACCCCGCGAGGCAGUAUCUGCUGAGUGUGGACAACUCUGGUCACAGGAGAGGGUUUGUUUUGUAUUAAAUGACACCAAGGGUCCAAACUUACAGCAUGCUGAAAAUCCAGAGCCUUCUCAGCCACAUGCUUACAUGACUGUUGUUUCAAGUUAUGUGGCAAAUUAUUCAUAUUUGGUGGGCAGAGUGAUAGAAGCUUAAAGAUAGAAAUACCCGGUUUAGCUGUUUUUCUUUUUCUUUUCUUUUUUUUUUUUUUUGCAGGCCCUUCUUUUUCUUAAUAAGGGAAGAAAGUUAGAAGUGUUGACAUGACUAACCGGAUCAUCAUCAUGAUAGCAGCUCACAUCAUACUCUACUUAUCAUGAUUUCACUUAUAUUUGGAUAAGGCUUGUUUCUGUGCUGGUUUUCUUGUAGUCUACCUAACAUUUUAUUAUAACUAAUGUAUUUUCUAGUUAAAGGAUAGCUCACAAAUUAAAAUUCUUUUAGCUUUUCACCUUGGGAAAAAAAAUUUGCCAGGUGUGGUGGCUUAUGCCUGCAAUCUCAGCACUUUGGGAGGCUGAAGCUGGAGGACUGUUUGAGGCCAGGAGUUCGAGACUGGGGGGAGACAUAGUGAGACCCCACUGCUACAAAAGAUAAAAUAAAAAAGACACUGCUCUAACAUUAACCAUUCUAAAUAUUAGCUCAUUUGAACCUCAUGACAGUUUUAUUAGGUAGUUAUUAUCAUCGUUAUCACUGUUUUACAGAUGAGGAAAUGGAGGCGCAAAGAGAUUGAGACAUUAACCAAUAUAAAUAAUAGACAUCGCAAGUGGCAGAGUUAGGAUUUGAACUGUGGACCUUCAGCUCAGCGCCUCCGUGGUCUCGGCCAUUAUGCCAUUCACCUCAGGAGGUGGAAAUAGCAUCUGAAUCUGAAGUUUGUUUGCUGUGAGGCAUAGUAGACUUCCCCAUCUUUCUCUGUCUCUCUCUCCUUCCUUCCCCAUCACUUAUCUCUCUGUAAUUGAAGCUCCUUUCCACUGAGGCAGCUCCACAGUGCUUCCUGUCCCUGCUUCCUUCACAUCCUCACUUUGACAUUAACAUAUCCACUGCCUCUCAGUUUUUACUGCUGCCUUUCUUGCCAAAUACAAAUAAUGACUGUUCUUUUUACUGCUCCUUGUUUCUGGUGCAGCAGGACAAUGAGGGGAGCAUAGAUCAAUGUUUCUCAGAGCAUGGCUGUGGCGAGCCUUGAAAAGAGGGAGCCCUGGUAACAGGCCCAGAGGUAGAGGCAAUUUCCUUGCUUCAUUGAUGUCUCUCCCAGGGGCAAGAUUCUCAGUAGAGGAGCCAGCUCUGGAUUCAGAAGAAACAUUGAUGGUUUAAAUGAUGUGUGUGUGUGUGUGUGUGUGUGUGAAUAAUACUCUUUCAGUGAGGACACAGAGGUCUCAAGCUAGUUGAUUUCCUGACUAGCAAGUGUAGGGAGCACUGAUUAAGACAUAAGUUUAAGGCAUGAGUUAAAUAUUUUCUUGCUCUCAUAUUGGCCAGUGUGAGAGAGUGAAUGAAAACCCCAAAUGAAAGGCACCCACAUUCUAUGGAUGUCUUCUCUAGUCUUUUAUUUCCUCUCUAUUCUAGCCACAGCUCAAGUUUGCGUUUGAGCCAAGGAGGCUGAAUAAUUUUCCUUUGCGGAAAGACUUGUCAAAUUCUAUGCAAGUUGAUUCUGCUGAUUUGCAUGAGAGGAAAUAUAAUCUGAUGAAGAUGUAAAUGUACACAAUUGAUUUCUUAUCUGUAGGCUUUCUGUUUCUUAUUUGGACUCUGAUUUAAAUAGUCCCAUUUCAAGUAACUUAGAAAGACUUAAUGCAAUGCCAAGUGAUUACAUUUUUAGAGACUUAUCGUUGGUUAAUUCCAGCUUUCCUCCUUAUAUAUCAAUUCAUUUUGUCAUGCUUAAAACAAGAACUUUUGAGCAUUUAUAUUAAAAAUAUUAGGGAAGAUAGGAUGCAAAGAUAAAUAAGAAUGGGUGCUCCCUUCUAGGAGUAUACAGUGAAACACAUUUUAAAAUGCAUUUUGAAGUCUUUUGAAAUUUGGAAUGAAUUUGCCAUAUAAGCAAGGUUCUAACACAUUACAACUGUAUAACACUUUAUUGUUUACAAAAUACUACCAUAAUCCUAGGCAAGACAACUAAAGCUUCUUUAAUCCCUUAUUUAAUUGAAACAGUACAAGUGGAGACCAUUUUAAGUGUUAUUUCUCAGUCCUGUGAAAACCCAGAACUACCAUGUCUGAGAUCUUGAGCUGUUUCCACUUCAUUCUGCAGUGAAAUUACCAAUGCAUCAGGACAUGAGCCUGAAUGUCGGGCGAAGAGCAUCAGUAAUUCUGCACCCACUUUACAUAUGAAGAAGCUGAAGUCUUGCAAAGUGGCCCAAGGUCUCCCAGGGAUGACCUGCUGGAAGCAAGCUAUGAAUCUAAGUCUCACCCCAAAGCUGCCUGUGUUCUCUUGUGAAAAGAACCACAAGCCAAAAGUUGGAUCAAUACCCAAGGACAGACACCUCUCUAAGAGCUGUGAUUGAGCUUGGUAAGUAUUUCAGGAGCAAUUCAAAUAGAUUCUUUCAAAUCCUAAAAUGUGAAGUGAUAGCUUUUGUUUCUUUCAAUGGAGGGAAUGGGUUUAGAGUUUUAUAGAAAAUUGACUGAACACUUCAUUCUCCACUUCAUAUUGGCAGGCCAGG